rnacentral:rRNA from 1 species
UACAGAGGGUGCGAGCGUUAAUCGGAAUUACUGGGCGUAAAGCGUGCGUAGGUGGUGAGUUAAGUCUGUCGUGAAAGCCCCGGGCUCAACCUGGGAAUGGCGAUGGAUACUGGCUCGCUAGAGUGCGGUAGAGGAGAGUGGAAUUCCCGGUGUAGCGGUGAAAUGCGUAGAGAUCGGGAGGAACAUCAGUUGCGAAGGCGGCUCUCUGGACCAGCACUGACACUGAGGCACGAAAGCGUGGGGAGCAAACAGG